UUAACUUAUUGUUCUUUGAUAGUAUCUUUAGAUGGAUUUUUUUAUUCAGUGAAUGCUGGAGCGUUAUGAUUCAUGAACGUAAACUGAGUCUCCUGUGAAUAAAAUCUUAAGCAAAACAUUCUUGGUGUUAAACAAGACGCCUUUGAGUAAUCUUGCAGCUUUCAAUGUAUCAACGAUCGAUGCAGUAGAGACAGGCCACGUGGAUUCUAAGAAGAGAUUGAGAUAAUAGUGUUA